rnacentral:rRNA from 1 species
GAUGAACGCUGGCGGCGUGCCUAAUACAUGCAAGUCGAGCGAACGGACGAGAAGCUUGCUUCUCUGAUGUUAGCGGCGGACGGGUGAGUAACACGUGGAUAACCUACCUAUAAGACUGGGAUAACUUCGGGAAACCGGAGCUAAUACCGGAUAAUAUUUUGAACCGCAUGGUUCAAAAGUGAAAGACGGUCUUGCUGUCACUUAUAGAUGGAUCCGCGCUGCAUUAGCUAGUUGGUAAGGUAACGGCUUACCAAGGCAACGAUGCAUAGCCGACCUGAGGGGGGGAUCGGCCACACUGGAACUGAGACGCGGUCCAGACUCCUACGGGAGGCAGCAGUAGGGAAUCUUCCGCAAUGGGCGAAAGCCUGACGGAGCAACGCCGCGUGAGUGAUGAAGGUCUUCGGAUCGUAAAACUCUGUUAUUAGGGAAGAACAUAUGUGUAAGUAACUGUGCACAUCUUGACGGUACCUAAUCAGAAAGCCACGGCUAACUACGU